UUGACUUGAAGGGUUUUCCAAGCCAAGACUAUGGAGUUGACUGUGGGAUCUUCAUGCUGAUGUCUGCUCUGUACGUGGCACUGGAUGCACCAUUUGACUAUACUAUAUCAGACAUGCC